UGAAGCAUUAGACUAGCUUUCGACUUUAGUCAUUAGUUUCAAAAUAAAACAAAUAAAAUAACCCUAAUAAAAGCCUGCCAUUUGAUUGAAAACAAUAAAAGGAAACUUUUUGUAAUGAAACUAGCCGAUUCCCAAGACACAGCUAGACUCCUUUUCCCUAUCGUCCUUUCACAUCUUCGUCUCCUCUGUGUUGUCGAUAGUCGCUCCAUAUUCCAUAUUAAGCUAUCUGUUACAUUUCAUUUACCACAAGCAAAUCUCAACCUGCACUGCUUCUCCAUCUUCCCUCCUGGUGGGAAUGGUGCUAAGUUAGAUCCGCCCUUCUCGGGUACGUUUCCUCAUUCUUUUGAUGAACUGGAAUUUUAUUUCUUGAAAACGAGUCAUACUACUUUGAAUAUCUCUAAUUAUUGCACCGAUGGUUGAUUUGUCCAAGUUCUUUGACUGGCAUUUUUUUAUAACUGUUCGAGAGUCUCCCAUAACCGUUAUUGAAGGAAGGGCCAUCAAGAUCCCUAACUGAACAGCCUGCAAGCCUGCGUAAGCCUCUGCUGCAAAUGGAGAUGGAACGUUUACGUUUACCACUGUCUUUAAUGCAAGGAGUUCUCCCGUCCAACUCCAAACCACUAAGCCCGAUGCUGAUUUGUGAGUUCUGUCAUCAAAUGUUGCGUCAAACUGAAUCGUUGCCUUGGUGUUUGCAUCUAGAAGGUUGCUCCUGAUACCCAUGGAAGAGGUAAACUUCUUUUCUUCUAAUCCCUCAAUUUCAGCCAUAUAUCUUCCGAUAUUCUGUGAAAUUUCUCCUUUUGACUCUAUCUUCCUUUCAUGCACGAGUUUAUUUCUUGAGCUCCAUAUGAUCCCCAAACCGCAACAGAGCAAGCGACACUGUUGAUAAGAACUAUUCUGAAAUAUCUAGGGGCAUUGGUAGAAAACAUGCACACUGUCUUCUUCUCCAUUCCCACAUCGAGGACAUAAAGCACUAUUAAUCACUCGCUUGUAUUUUAGAUUUGCAAAAAUUGGAAUAUAGUUCCAUGUUAUUCUCCAUAUUGUAAUCAGUAUUUUUUAGGGUAGUCCUAGAUUCCAAAGUUUUUUGUAGAGUUUCUUUGAGUCAGCCUAUAUAAAAUAAUAACUAGGAUCCAAACUAGCUUCUUGUAAUAGUUUGUAGGCGCUUCUAAUAGUAAAUUCUCCAGACGAUUCUCCUUUCCACACUUGAAGGUCGUUAUAAGGACUUUCCGUAAGAGGAAUCUGCAUAAUUUGUUGAGCAAUCUCAUCUUGGAAGGUACUACUAACAA